rnacentral:ncRNA from 1 species
UCAAAUUCGUUAACGAGAACGAGUACGCUAAUCCAUUUGCUUCCCAGAGAGUUGGCCCUGAGCUGAAAGCCAAUAAGCAAAUCAUAGCCGAAAAUCCUCUCCGAGAAGGAAAGCUGAAAGUAACUGAGUAAGCUGCCCCGGGAUCCCGCCGUUACAAGGGCCACGUAUGUUAGUACGUAGUAUGAGGAGCUGUAAUGAUCAUAAUUGGAUGGUCAUACGGAACUAGGGUGGUAUCGCGAGAUGUAAUCUCGUCCCUUAC